AAGUGAAAAAAAGGCAGAAAAAAGAAUCAAAAAAUACAGGACUAAACUUACAGAAAAAUACCAGAGUUCUGACGCUCCAUUGAGUUUCAGUAACUUCUGAUUCCUUUGAGCUCUGAAAGUAAUAGUGUUCAGUAGUUAGGAUUCGAGUUGGUUUGAUAUUAUUUUUUGGAGAUUUUUGUUUUUGAUCACUGUGUUGAAACUACUGUUCCAUUGGGUUUUCAAGUGGAGCUCAUGGCUUUAAUUGCUGAAUUUGGGUUAUUUUGUGGGCGGGAAGUGGCUGUAUAGUUCAUUUUACUGUUUAAAAAAGCUGGAUUUCUUAUUGGAAAUUUCUACUAGUUUCACUGGCAUUUCUGAAUCUAUUUCCUCAAGUUUUGGUUGAAUCUGGGAUUGUUCUUUGCUGCUGAGUGCUCACUUCUAUUUCUUUUCCAAUCUCCAGGUACACUGUCAAAACCUGCCAUGGAACUGAGUAUUGACUAACAUAUAGGAAGAGUUGAAUGUUCUAGUUGAGAUGUGAAUAAGACAUUUUAAAAUCUUGAUGUAGUUAGUGUCAGCUAUUGCCAUUAUGUCUAAUUAGGUGCUUCAUUUCAUUUAGUUUGAUUUCUGGUAUGUGCUGAAUGAUUUAGUUGCUAGAUUUAAUGCAUAAUCUCAGAAUAUUGGAUAUUGUAGUGUUGUUUGAAUUCUGCUCGCAUGACUGGACUGUUAAUAUCGCUGUAGUAGAGGUUUAUCUAAAGCUGUGUAUGAUAUAGUCAUGUUUGAGGUCUGGUAUGAAUAAGGAGUGUUCAGUCUUGUUAAAAGAGGCUUAGUAUAAGGUGCAUUCUGCUUGGGUUCACAUGUUUCUAACAUUAACAAGUUAUUCAGGGCUCCAGUUCUUUUGAAAUGAUUUCUACCAAAAUUUAUCAAAUCAGUGUUAAAAAGAGUCUGGCAUGAGGGUUAUUUAGUUCUGGGCUAUCACUUAUGCUCAUUAGAUCAUUUCAUUUCGAAAUAAUCAAUGUUGAAAACAAGUGGGCAUUCAUGAUCGUUUUGGACUGAAUAUGGACCAUUUUGCAUGUUUGAAAUCAAUUUGGGAGCAUUUGAUCAAAUUGUUUGUCUAUUAUUCUAGGAUAGAAUAAAUGCAAAUCUGGAAUCCGAAUGGCAAUCUAUGCAUAUGUUUAGAGCUCAGGCUCAAAAUAGGCUUUCUUCAUGAUAGUUCACUUGAGAUGUGUCCACUUCUCUCCCUCUUCUUCUUGUUUUCACGUUAAUUUCGAAUGUGGGCAGGAUGGGUGUGAUUUCGUAUUUUGGGCUUGGCCUUCGUUAGGCCCAGAUUUGAAGCUAUCGAAAUUAAGUGUGGAGUCAUAUAAUCCUUCAACGCAAGGCCUUCUAAGUAAAUAAUGUAUUUCGAAUUUCCUCAAAAAUAGGAGUUCAAUAAGUUAAUGAAUUGGUUUUCUGUGUCACUAAGGGUGCGCUACGUUUAACAACACGAAGUAGGCUUGGCCAUCUGAGCCAUAGUUUUAAAUAAACUUUUAAAUAGAAUCGAAGGGGUGCUCAAACAAAAAAUAAGGGUUGGGUAAAUUUUGUUUUAAUUAGUUUUAACUUAACAUUAGAACUUGAGGCUGCCAUUUAGAAAAUUCUAUGGUCCUCGCAAAUCUAAAAACCCGUGACUGCUUUAAGCGCGUUAGUUAACAAUUAACUUCUCUAAAUUUGGGUGCACAUUUACGAGACCCAAAUCCAUAAUUAAACGGUGUUAGAAUAUGUCGAAGACCGCGGGUGCAUUUAUGUGACGUGGUUCAAGAUGUGUUUUAAUAACGUUGGAAAUUCCUAAAACAACUAAAAGCGGUUAGAAAGGUUAACAAUUGAGCAUAUGUUCAAAAUGAAUUAAAAUUAGAUAAGUACGCCGAAUGUAACAGUUAAGCAACCGUGCUAGAACCACGGAACUCGGGAAUGCCUAACACCUUCUCCCGGGUUAACAGAAUUCCUCACCUGGAUUUCUAGCUCGCUGGCUGUAUUAUAGAUUCAAACCUUCAUCGAUUCGAGAUUUUAAACUGGUGACUUGAGACACCAUAAAUUAUCCCAAGUGGAGACUUUGAAAUUUUUUAAUAAUAUAAUCCUAUUUCGAUCGUCCUUUAAUUGAAAAUGCUCCCUUAUCUACGCCCUUCGCGGGGUGUAGUGUAAAAAAGGAGGUGUGACAGCUCUGGCGACUCUGCUGAAAAUAGAACCAGAAUCUGUAGUUUUGGGUUCAGAAUUCAAACUUAGAAUAAUUAUUGUAUUUGGUUUUGUUAAUAUCAUUACAUGUUUGGGCCUAAUGUGCUAAUUUUUGCUUUUACCACUUUGAUAUUAGUUGAACUCUAUACAAAUUGCUGCGAAACCUUUCUCUUCUCAUCUCCGGGGAUGUGCUCACUAGUCUAGACUCUCUAUUCUAUUAGUGUUAUACCUUGGAAUAAGAAAGAGGCUUGGACAAGUCACGAAGCCAGAUGGACUUUUGGUUCCUGGUACGUAGCCCCCUCCUCGACUCGAGUUUUCCGUUAGGAUACACAGUCUAGAACAUGUACCCAGGUUUUGAACGUAGAAUAACUUAACCUCAUCCCUAGUAUAAACUCUUAUUUGCAUCAUGCAUUUGACUUAGGGGACUCAAAGCAGGGGUUGGGUCCGUUUAGGAAAGGUGCACGUAAAAUAAUAGACCAUCUUGAUGCAUCUUGCGUGCUACUUGUGCAUUUAUUCCAAAUUUACUUGUCGAUCGGCUUUAAAAAAAAGGAGAAUAUGACCAAUAAAAUAACAGUGUGAGGGAUGAGGAAAUUAAUUACCUGUUUCAAAUACUGAUACUGAAAUUCUACAAAAAUUUUGAAAAGAACAAAGAAAGGAUUCAGUUUUAAAAUAAAGAGAAAAAAAUAAGCUGGUUUUUAAUUCUGUCAGAAUUGCUCGAACUACACUGGUUUGAUUCUCACAGGACAUGAGAUACGUAGGCAACCCCGAUGGGGUCCAACUUCAUUCUUGCAAAAAUAGCCUUAGAAGAACCAAGUUUUGUUUGUGAUAAAUAAAUAAGGCAAUUCUUGUCAAAUUAGCCGAGUGUCCCCAAAAGGGCGCCGGAAGGCGGCUUUUUCAAAAACAACCACCCUGGAUUCUUUUUCAAAUUUUGGUAGGUAGUAAGCACAACCUUAAACUCUUCCCUGGGAAGUGCUGAAAGGUUUUAUUUGCAAAGCCGGACUCAUACUCUUAAAAUGAAAAUCUAUCAACCUUGAUUUAAGUCAAAUAAAUCAUGAUUUUUGCUUAAUCACCCUAAUAAAUGUGCAGAAUGAUCACGAAUCAAAAGUUUCGAAUACAGUCAUAAACAAGAUCCCUUUGGAGUUGCACAUUUAGUGGAAUGAUCUAGGUGAAUCAGGAUAAAACAAGGUCAAUGCGCACUUGGGAGGACUCAUCGGGUGUUUGAAAAUUAAUCCUAGAGGGGAUAUCAUAAAGGCGUUGGUUACAUUCUGGGACCUGAC
rnacentral:lncRNA from 1 species